rnacentral:rRNA from 1 species
CAGUCGAACGGGGUUUAUAUGACGGAACUCUCCGGAGGGAAGAUAUAUAAACCUAGUGGCGGACGGGUGAGUAACGCGUGGGCAACCUGCCCUGUACCGGGGGACAACAGCCAGAAAUGGCUGCUAAUACCGCAUAAGCCUGCUGUGCCGCAUGGCACAGCAGGGAAAACCACGGUGGUACAGGAUGGGCCCGCGUCUGAUUAGUUAGUUGGCAGGGUAACGGCCUACCAAGACAACGAUCAGUAGCCGGCUUGAGAGAGUGGACGGCCACAUUGGGACUGAGACACGGCCCAGACUCCUGCGGGAGGCAGCAGUGGGGAAUAUUGCACAAUGGGGGGAACCCUGAUGCAGCAAUGCCGCGUGGGUGAAGAAGCACUCCGGUGCGUAAAGCCCUGUCAGCAGGGAAGAAAAUGACAGUACCUGGACAAGAAGCCCCGGCUAACUACGUGCCAGCAGCCGCGGUAAUACGUAGGGGGCAAGCGUUAUCCGGAUUUACUGGGUGUAAAGGGAGCGCAGGCGGCGUGGCAAGUCAGAUGUGAAAACCCGGGGCCCAACCCCGGGAGUGCAUUUGAAACUGCCAUGCUGGAGUGCCGGAGAGGUAAGCGGAAUUCCUAGUGUAGCGGUGAAAUGCGUAGAUAUUAGGAGGAACACCAGUGGCGGAGGCGGCUUACUGGACGGUAACUGACGCUGAGGCUCGAAAGCGUGGGGAGCAAACAGGAUUAGAUACCCUGGUAG